AGAAAGAAUACACUUUUAUGCAUAAAAUGGACAAAGAAAUUGGACAUCUCAUGUUAAGAACUUCUUAUUCUCUAUUGGCUUCGGAAACGUUUGGAAUGCACAAUAUGUAGAAUCACAUACGUAAUUCAUUCAGUCGUUAACCAUAAGACUUAAAGACAUAUAUCUUCAAACAUGGUGUGAGAAAAUAUCUUUGUCAAGUAAAUGUUUUAACUAUUCAAAAUUUA